GCCGGAAUAGCUCAGUUGGUAGAGCAGAGGACUGAAAAUCCNCGUGUCACCANU
rnacentral:tRNA from 1 species